AGGAAGUUUUGAUACAUAAUCAAAUGUUUUAGCCGUCUUUGAUUAUCACUUAAACUUCCAAGAGCAAAAAUUUAGCUUUAUGAUGACUGUGAGUGUUCAAGUCUUAAUUCACAGACAGAUACGAAGCAGACAAUA